rnacentral:rRNA from 1 species
CGCACGGGUGAGUAACACGUGAAUAAUCUACCUCCGAGUGGGGAAUAACCAAGAGAAAUCUUGGCUAAUACCGCAUAACACUUACGAGUCAAAGCAGCAAUGCGCUUGGAGAGGAGUUCGCGGCCGAUUAGUUAGUUGGCGGGGUAAUGGCCCACCAAGACGAUGAUCGGUAUCCGGCCUGAGAGGGCGCACGGACACACUGGAACUGAAACACGGUCCAG